rnacentral:rRNA from 1 species
UACGUAGGAGGCGAGCGUUGUCCGGAGUUACUGGGCGUAAAGGGUGCGCAGGCGGCGUCACGCGUGGCUAGAUGAAAUCUCCUGGCUUACCUGGGAGGGUGGUAGCCAGACGGUGGCGCUUGAGGGUCGGAGAGGGGCGUGGAAUUCCGGGUGGAGCGGUGAAAUGCGUAGAGAUCCGGAGGAACACCGGUGGCGAAGGCGGCAUCCUGGACCGAUACUGACGCUGAGGAGCGAAAGCCAGGGGAGCAAACGGG